rnacentral:rRNA from 1 species
GUAACGGCCCACCAAGGCUACGAUCAGUAGGGGUUCUGAGAGGAAGGUCCCCCACAUUGGAACUGAGACACGGUCCAAACUCCUACGGGAGGCAGCAGUGAGGAAUAUUGGUCAAUGGACGAGAGUCUGAACCAGCCAAGUAGCGUGCAGGAUGACGGCCCUAUGGGUCGUAAACUGCUUUUAUAAGGGAAUAAAGUGAGCCUCGUGAGGCUUUUUGCAUGUACCUUAUGAAUAAGGACCGGCUAAUUCCGUGCCAGCAGCCGCGGUAAUACGGAAGGUCCGGGCGUUAUCCGGAUUUAUUGGGUUUAAAGGGAGCGUAGGCCGGAGAUUAAGCGUGUUGUGAAAUGUAGACGCUCAACGUCUGCACUGCAGCGCGAACUGGUUUCCUUGAGUACGCACAAAGUGGGCGGAAUUCGUGGUGUAGCGGUGAAAUGCUUAGAUAUCACGAAGAACUCCGAUUGCGAAGGCAGCUCACUGGAGCGCAACUGACGCUGAAGCUCGAAAGUGCGGGUAUCGAACAGGAUUAGAUACCCUGGUAGUCCGCACGGUAAACGAUGGAUGCCCGCUGUUGGUCUGAAUAGGUCAGCGGCCAAGCGAAAGCAUUAAGCAUCCCACCUGGGGAGUACGCCGGCAACGGUGAAACUCAAAGGAAUUGACGGGGGCCCGCACAAGCGGAGGAACAUGUGGUUUAAUUCGAUGAUACGCGAGGAACCUUACCCGGGCUUGAAUUGCAGAGGAAGGAUUUGGAGACAAUGACGCCCUUCGGGGCCUCUGUGAAGGUGCUGCAUGGUUGUCGUCAGCUCGUGCCGUGAGGUGUCGGCUUAAGUGCCAUAACGAGCGCAACCCCUCUCCUUAGUUGCCAUCAGGUUAAGCUGGGCACUCUGGGGACACUGCCACCGUAAGGUGUGAGGAAGGUGGGGAUGACGUCAAAUCAGCACGGCCCUUACGUCCGGGGCUACACACGUGUUACAAUGGCAGGUACAGAGAGACGGUUGUACGUAAGUACGAUCAAAUCCUUAAAGCCUGUCUCAGUUCGGACUGGGGUCUGCAACCCGACCCCACGAAGCUGGAUUCGCUAGUAAUCGCGCAUCAGCCAUGGCGCGGUGAAUACGUUCCCGGGCCUUGUACACACCGCCCGUCAAGCCAUGAAAGCCGGGGGCGCCUAAAGUCCGUGACCGUAAGGAGCGGCCUAGGGCGAAACUGGUAAUUGGGGCUAAGUCGUAACAAGGUA